CCAUCUUGUUGGAGGCGGGAAGAAUGUAGCGCGCUUGCGUGCGCGGAGAUUGCCGGCGCUCUUCUACCCCGCAAGGAGGGGCUGAAAUGCGCAGUCGCGUUGUUGCGGCGCUCAGACCCUCGCUUCUUCACGGUCUGGAGGAGAGCAAACCACCAAAAGAUGAUGACGUGAAGGACCGUAAUUAGCAAUCUCUCUCCAGAGAUGACAUUUGAUCUGAGGCCUGAAUGACCACAGGGGCCAGGAGCCAAGAGAAGAUCUGGGGCAGAGCCUUCCAGGCAGAGGAAAUAGCUAAAGCAGAGGCCUGAGGUGGGAAUGAGACCUGCAGGUUCUAUAUGUUUCAUAAAAGGAAAAGAAGAGAUGGCGGAAAAAUGGGUGUGUAUCUUAAAUGCUAGCUGCACCCCUUGGUUAGGCUUGUUCCUGUACAGCUAGCUCUCUCAUCUAGAUCCCAAACAAUGCUUUAUACAUCAAAGACAGUUCUCUGGCAAAGAGUGACAGGCUUACCAUAACAAUCACUUAUCCCAUUUCCUCAUCAGAAUUACACACCAUCAUUUCCCUCUAAACAGGAGAGCUGCCUCAGAAUAGUUAGGGAGAACUAUGAGAAAGGAUGAACUUUCUCAUAGGGAGAACUAUGAGAAACUUAUAGUAGCUACUAUAAGAUAGUAGCUACUAUCUUAUAUCUGGGGCCAUUCAGUCUUUAUAUGAGGGCAGGAAUACACUAUAUCUCAUGAUAAUAUAC